GCAUAACUGUAAACACCGAUAGCAAUUUACCCGCAAUCCGCCAGGGAACUACAAGCAUUGGCUUGAAACCCAAAGGACUUGGCGGUGCUUUAGACCCACCUAGAGGAGCCUGUUCUAGAACUGAUAACCCCCGUUCAACCUCACCCUGCUUUGUCAUACCCGCCUAUAUACCGCCGUCGUCAGCUUACCUUGUGAAAGAUUAUAAGUGAGCAAGGUUGGUACAACCCAAAACGUCAGGUCGAGGUGUAGUGUAUAGCAGGGGAAGAAAUGGGCUACAUUUAUCUACUGAUAAACACGGAUUAUUUAUUGAAAAAUAAAACUGAAGGAGGAUUUAGCAGUAAGAAGAAAAUAGAGAGUUCUUCUGAAACAGGCUCUGAAGCGCGC
rnacentral:rRNA from 1 species